rnacentral:rRNA from 1 species
GUGAGGAAUUUUCCGCAAUGGGCGAAAGCCUGACGGAGCAAUGCCGCGUGAAGGAUGAAGGCCUAUGGGUUGUAAACUUCUUUUCUUAGAGAAGAAUAUUGACGGUAUCUGAGGAAUAAGCAUCGGCUAACUCUGUGCCAGCAGCCGCGGUAAGACAGAGGAUGCAAGCGUUAUCUGGAAUGAUUGGGCGUAAAGCGUCUGUAGGUGGCUUCAAAAGUCUCCUGUCAAAGAUCAGGGCUUAACUCUGGGCCGGCAGGAGAAACUCUGAGGCUAGAGUUUGGUAGGGGCAGAGGGAAUUCCCGGUGGAGCGGUGAAAUGCGUAGAGAUCGGGAGGAACACCAAAGGCGAAAGCACUCUGCUGGGCCACAACUGACACUGAGAGACGAAAGCGAGGGGAGCAAAAGGGAUUAGAAACCCGUGUAGUCC